GAUGAACGCUGGCGGCGUGCCUAAUACAUGCAAGUCGAGCGAACGGACGAGAAGCUUGCUUCUCUGAUGUUAGCGGCCGACGGGUGAGUAACACGUGGAUAACCUACCUAUAAGACUGGGAUAACUUCGGGAAACCGUAGCUAAUACCGGAUAAUAUUUUGAACCGCAUGGUUCAAAAGUGAAAGACGGUCUUGCUGUCACUUAUAGAUGGAUCCGCGCUGCAUUAGCUAGUUGGUAAGGUAACGGCUUACCAAGGCAACGAUGCAUAGCCGACCUGAGAGGGUGAUCGGCCACACUGGAACUGAGACACGGUCCAGACUCCUACGGGAGGCAGCAGUAGGGAAUCUUCCGCAAUGGGCGAAAGCCUGACGGAGCAACGCCGCGUGAGUGAUGAAGGUCUUCGGAUCGUAAAACUCUGUUAUUAGGGAAGAACAUAUGUGUAAGUAACUGUGCACAUCUUGACGGUACCUAAUCAGAAAGCCACGGCUAACUACGUG
rnacentral:rRNA from 1 species